UGUAUAAUUUUCCAAUGCAAAUCCAUCAUCGUCUAUAAAAAGGCAGGUGAGGGGAGUUUGGGAAGACCGCACCUACCGCAGUUUUGUUUCAAAGCACAAGAGGCACCAACGUUUCCUGUAUCUAGUCCUGAUCAGUCAUUAUCUAAGGCACCAUGAAGGCAAUCCUGAUCUUCUCCCUCAUUUGUGUUUGCAUCUCCAUCAUUCAUGGAGAAAAUAAGUAUAUAACGUGUGCUUCAUGUGAUCUGGGAGACACCAAAUGCGAAAAUUGUACAGGAGAGGCCUGCGUCACUAU